CAUGGCUCAGGAUGAACGCUAGCUACAGGCUUAACACAUGCAAGUCGAGGGGCAUCAGGAAGAAAGCUUGCUUUCUUUGCUGGCGACCGGCGCACGGGUGAGUAACACGUAUCCAACCUGCCCUUUACUCGGGGAUAGCCUUUCGAAAGAAAGAUUAAUACCCGAUGGCAUAAUGAUUCCGCAUGGUUUCAUUAUUAAAGGAUUCCGGUAAAGGAUGGGGAUGCGUUCCAUUAGGUUGUUGGUGAGGUAACGGCUCACCAAGCCUUCGAUGGAUAGGGGUUCUGAGAGGAAGGUCCCCCACAUUGGAACUGAGACACGGUCCAAACUCCUACGGGAGGCAGCAGUGAGGAAUAUUGGUCAAUGGGCGCUAGCCUGAACCAGCCAAGUAGCGUGAAGGAUGAAGGCUCUAUGGGUCGUAAACUUCUUUUAUAUAAGAAUAAAGUGCAGUAUGUAUACUGUUUUGUAUGUAUUAUAUGAAUAAGGAUCGGCUAACUCCGUGCCAGCAGCCGCGGUAAUACGGAGGAUCCGAGCGUUAUCCGGAUUUAUUGGGUUUAAAGGGAGCGUAGGUGGACUGGUAAGUCAGUUGUGAAAGUUUGCGGCUCAACCGUAAAAUUGCAGUUGAUACUGUCAGUCUUGAGUACAGUAGAGGUGGGCGGAAUUCGUGGUGUAGCGGUGAAAUGCUUAGAUAUCACGAAGAACUCCGAUUGCGAAGGCAGCUCACUGGACUGCAACUGACACUGAUGCUCGAAAGUGUGGGUAUCAAACAGGAUUAGAUACCCUGGUAGUCCACACAGUAAACGAUGAAUACUCGCUGUUUGCGAUAUACAGUAAGCGGCCAAGCGAAAGCAUUAAGUAUUCCACCUGGGGAGUACGCCGGCAACGGUGAAACUCAAAGGAAUUGACGGGGGCCCGCACAAGCGGAGGAACAUGUGGUUUAAUUCGAUGAUACGCGAGGAACCUUACCCGGGCUUAAAUUGCAGUGGAAUGAUGUGGAAACAUGUCAGUGAGCAAUCACCGCUGUGAAGGUGCUGCAUGGUUGUCGUCAGCUCGUGCCGUGAGGUGUCGGCUUAAGUGCCAUAACGAGCGCAACCCUUAUCUUUAGUUACUAACAGGUCAUGCUGAGGACUCUGGAGAGACUGCCGUCGUAAGAUGUGAGGAAGGUGGGGAUGACGUCAAAUCAGCACGGCCCUUACGUCCGGGGCUACACACGUGUUACAAUGGGGGGUACAGAAGGCAGCUAGCGGGUGACCGUAUGCUAAUCCCAAAAUCCUCUCUCAGUUCGGAUCGAAGUCUGCAACCCGACUUCGUGAAGCUGGAUUCGCUAGUAAUCGCGCAUCAGCCACGGCGCGGUGAAUACGUUCCCGGGCCUUGUACACACCGCCCGUCAAGCCAUGGGAGCCGGGGGUACCUGAAGUACGUAACCGCAAGGAUCGUCCUAGGGUAAAACUGGU
rnacentral:rRNA from 1 species